rnacentral:misc_RNA from 1 species
UUUCCGUAGGUGAACCUGCGGAAGGAUCAUUAUCGGGAAUGCCCUCCGGGGCUGACCUCCAACCUUUUGUCGUUAUAACCUCGUUUCUUUGGCGGGUCCGCCCGCCAGAAGACCUCUCAAACCCAACCAUCAUUGUCCUCUGAAGCAAACGAUAAUAAAAUCAAAACUUUCAACAACGGAUCUCUUGGUUCUG